rnacentral:lncRNA from 1 species
GUUGUGAUGAUAUUGACAAUAUGCACGCACCUUUACUCUUCAGUUUAUAUUUUUGACAUCGUCACAUUGUCGAUCACUUCGUUUGUAUAUUAGCAUAGUACAGUGAUACUGAUCUUUUGACUCUUCAAAAAUGGACUCUGCAUGGAUUGAUUUAUCGCAACAAAGUGGAACCAAACGAAAUUUGGCAGCUAUAAAUGAGGACCUUUUGUUGGCGACAUUAAAUGAGUCAUUAUGCAGCUAAUGACUUAUGUUUCCAUGUGAACACUUGGGUAAAUUUAAACUUUAAUCUUUAUCAAUUGCAAUUAACAGUUCGGGAAGCCAUUUUAAUUUACAAACGGAAAUAAAUGCGGUAUCCUUGUAACAUGCUGUUGCAUAAUGUGCCUAUGAAACUGUUUUCUCUCAUCUAUCUUGUAUUUUCCACUUCGUGUCCACGCUAAAUUCAAAUUAUCAUUUGCAAUUGGGUAGAAUUUUAUUUUCUACCCUUUUGUAACCACAGUACGUCAGUCGGUCUAUCGGUUUGGAUGUCUGUCUGGACGUUUUGCAAAUUUCUAAACCUGACCAAAUUUAAAAAGCUGGU